rfam:Camelus ferus unplaced genomic scaffold scaffold128, whole genome shotgun sequence.
GAGGGUAUCGCUCAGCGGUAGAGAACAUGCUUAGCAUGCACGAGGCCCUGGGUUCAAUCCCCAGUACCGCCA